UACGGAGGGAGCUAGCGUUGUUCGGAAUUACUGGGCGUAAAGCGCACGUAGGCGGCUUUGUAAGUUAGAGGUGAAAGCCCGGAGCUCAACUCCGGAAUUGCCUUUAAGACUGCAUCGCUUGAAUCCAGGAGAGGUGAGUGGAAUUCCGAGUGUAGAGGUGAAAUUCGUAGAUAUUCGGAAGAACACCAGUGGCGAAGGCGGCUCACUGGACUGGUAUUGACGCUGAGGCGCGAAAAGCGUGGGGAGCAAACAGG
rnacentral:rRNA from 1 species